rnacentral:lncRNA from 1 species
CUUUUCCCCAUCAAGGUCUACAGUUAUCCUCAAUUUAAGUUGAAAACGAGAGGCUAAAUAUAUUGUUUUGUUUCCUAACAACAACAACAGCAACAACAACAACAACAAAAACAACAACAGAGAAUCAGAAUGGAAACAUCAGAAUUCUUCAUCCUUUGACUGCGUCAGGUUCCUACCAAGUUUAAUUUAUUCAAGCUACCAGAAAACUUAAAAGUUAAAGAAAAUCAAAUUCAUUAUUUAAGAGAACUAUCAAAAAGAUCCUGCCUGUUGCAUGGAGUAAUGAAGAACAGAGAACACACAUAGCAGCAGAUGGAGUAGAGACAUCCUUAAAAGAGGGGGAAAAACCCGGUUUUUAACAAUUGCAAUUAUUUUGCACCUCUCCCAGAGUGACUGGUUUGUCAUCUCCCAGGAACAAGCAGCGACAAUAGCCUUCCUCCUUGCAGAGCCUCUGUCACUCAGUUUAACCCCACAAAUGACCUCACAAACAACUCAUCUCAUUAUUCUUCUCUAAUGAGAAGUACACUGAUGAUGAUGAUCAUCAUCAUCAUUUUGAUGUCAGUCUAGUACUUACCUCUUCUUAGAUACAAACACUAAAAGUAAUAAUCCUUCACAACUUAUAACUUUUUUUUCAGCAUUUGAGUCUCACGAUCUUAUUAAACUAUUAUCUCAGUUUUGCUAAGUACGGUGUUUCCCAAAGUAUGAUCUAUAGAGAACCUACAUCAGCAACAUUUGGGAUGCUCGUUAAAGUACAGAUUCCUAGAUCUUACAUAAUUAACAUUUCUGAAGAUGACAAACAUGAAUUUUAAACAAAUUCCUCACAUAAUCUUUAUUCAUACUCACGAUUGAUAGCUACUAGAACAGUACAUUCAGAUCUCAAUGUGCUUACAUCCUCCCAUGGCUUCUCCCUCAACCAUGAGAAUAAAUUUAUUAUAUGUAAUUUGCAGCGAUAAAUCCACAAUACACCUGGGUAUGUUUUGGAUUGUUAGAAGUUCUGAAGCACACUCUUUCUCAUCUAGGUUUUGUUUUCUUAAUUUAAUUUGUUUUCCAAGUCAAUAUAUUUUUCCUAACUAAAUUUCUUGAACUUUAGCCAUGUGCUAGAAAGUUUUUUGAAAUAAAUUGUAUUCUCCAUUCUGGCAAACAAUGGCACUGUAUUUCUGUGUUUCUGGAAGAAGACAGAAAAUUAUUUGAGGGACUAUUUUCUCUAUUCUCUUAUCUUAGAUGCAUAAAAGUGAGGUUACUUUAUUAUGUAUGAUGAAUGCCUUAAGGCAGCGGUUUUCAAACUUUUUGGUUUCAGAACCUUUUUAUACUUUUAAAAAUUAGUGAGGAUUCAAAGAGCUUUAGCUUACAUGGCUUACAGCCAUCAAUAUUUACCCUAUUAGAGCUUAAAAUAAUUCUAUUACCUAUUUCCAUAUUGUAAAACUCAUUAAAAUUUAUGUUAUUCUCAGAACAGAUCAGAAAGACCGAU